AUUCCAGCUCCAAUAGUGUAUAUUAAAGUUGUUGCAGUUAAAAAGCUCGUAGUUGGAUUUCUGGCGGGAGCGAUCGGUCCUUCACUCAGUGUUGGAACCUGAUUGUCUCCUGCCAUCCAUGGAGAAAACUUAUCUGGCAUUAAGUUGUCGGGUAGGCAAUCUCCAUCUUUUACUGUGAAAAAAUUAGAGUGUUCAAAGCAGGCUUAUGCCGUUGAAUAUAUUAGCAUGGAAUAAUAAGAUAGGACUAUGGUACUAUUUUGUUUGUUUGUGCACCAUGGUAAUGAUUAAUAGGGACAGUUGGGGGCAUUCGUAUUUAACAGUCAGAGGUGAAAUUCUUGGAUUUGUUAAAGACGGACUACUGCGAAAGCAUUUGCCAAGGAUGUUUUCAUCA
rnacentral:rRNA from 1 species